rnacentral:rRNA from 1 species
UACGAAGGGUGCAAGCGUUACUCGGAAUUACUGGGCGUAAAGCGUGCGUAGGUGGUUUGUUAAGUCUGUUGUGAAAGCCCCGGGCUCAACCUGGGAAUGGCAAUGGAUACUGCCAUGACUGGAGUCCGGUAGAGGAGUGUGGAAUUCCCGGUGUAGCGGUGAAAUGCGCAGAUAUCGGGAGGAACACCCGUAGCGAAGGCGGCACUCUGGGCCGGUACUGACGCUGAGGAGCGAAAGCGUGGGGAGCAAACAGG